rnacentral:rRNA from 1 species
AUUGAACGCUGGCGGCAGGCCUAACACAUGCAAGUCGAGCGGAUGAGUGGAGCUUGCUCCAUGAUUCAGCGGCGGACGGGUGAGUAAUGCCUAGGAAUCUGCCUGGUAGUGGGGGACAACGUUUCGAAAGGAACGCUAAUACCGCAUACGUCCUACGGGAGAAAGUGGGGGAUCUUCGGACCUCACGCUAUCAGAUGAGCCUAGGGCGGAUUAGAUAGUUGGUGAGGUAAAGGCUCACCAAGGCGACGAUCCGUAACUGGUCUGAGAGGAUGAUCAGUCACACUGGAACUGAGACACGGUCCAGACUCCUACGGGAGGCAGCAGUGGGGAAUAUUGGACAACGGGCGAAAGCCUGAUCCAGCCAUGCCGCGUGUGUGAAGAAGGUCUUCGGAUUGUAAAGCACUUUAAGUUGGGAGGAAGGGCAGUAAGUUAAUACCUUGCUGUUUUGACGUUACCAACAGAAUAAGCACCGGCUAACUUCGUGCCAGCAGCAGCCGCGGUAA